UUCCUGCUUCGCUCCUUGGCUUUGGGCCCUGCAGGGCAGGAAAUCUGCACAGCAGGAGGAGUUCAGAUGGCUGAGGUGCACGUGGAGGCCUCCAUCCAAAGACUGCAGGCUGCUUCCACAUCGGCAGGGCAAGGCGUGGGGGACUCAUGGGAGCUUUUCCUGCAGUUCGCAGCGCAACAGCACUGUGGAAGAGCGCCAGCUGGAACUGCCAUCUGAGCUGGGUGCCGUGCUGAGCCACCAGGACUCGUUGGACUUCAGAAACAGAAGGACUGGGAACAAAGGUAACUUCAGCGCAGUAGCGGAACCCAGCUUCCCUCCCCAUUGCUUUUCCCCAUUUCUCCUCUAUAUCCUUCUUUUCCUUUGUGCAGGGGACAAGUGGUUGCUUUAUUGCUCCAAAAGUGCGUGUUGAAAGGAGAGAAAAAACAUGUAGUUUCUGGUAGAAAUAUCGAGAACAAGAAAACUGAAUAUACAAAGCUAAAAUAAGCAGAAGUACAACUUCUAUAAAUAUCACGCGUAGCUAGGGAUGAAGAGAAUAGGAAGAAGAUGUUGACAGAAGUGAAGCAAGAAUUUUGGGGUGGGAUACAAAACGAUAUGAGACAAAACAUGAGCCUCUGGGCUGCCCUUCCCUGCGUGGCUCAUUGCAUGUCACUCUGGUAGCCCAGCAAUUGUCUGCUCUCCAGUGCUUUGACAGAACUGGGAGGUCUCUUCUGCAGUCCCUCGUGGCCAAUCCAGCGUAGUGGGUAAGAAAGCAGCAUCAGAAGAGCUAGUGCACUUUGGAGUUGCUUGUGUCAAAAGAUCAAGUCCUACCUAGGCUUCUUCCAGAAUCCCAAACGUGGUCAGAGUGUAGCAGUGAAGUAAAUUUUACCUUCUGGCCAACUGUUAGCUCUGUGUUUAGCGUUAAAUUCUUGCUGACUUCAGUCAGAAACUGGUUUUCUUUGCCGCCACACCCCCCCCUUUUCCUCCCCCCCCAUUGUAGUUAGUGAGACAAGCACCAGGCUCAGAGCAAGCUGAGAGAUGCCUGCUGCUGGGCGGCCAGCAGGAGCUGUGGAGCAUCUCUCCCAUGGUGUGAACCACUUUGGUUUAGAUCUGAUAUUUUCUGCUCAAGUGGUGUAUGUGAACAAGCAGGAUCCCAAUGCAUUUCCAGUAUUUUCAGCUUGGGAAAUUCGCAGUAAGACCAUUUUUUUUCCUGUAAAUCCUCUUGUUGCGAAGAUUGGUUUUUGUGUUGUGGCAUGCCCUGGGGGAAAAAGGGAAGUUUGUAAGUAUUUCAGGGGUUUUAACAGUGUUACUUCAAACUGCAUACUAUCCUAAUAGCUACUUGCAAAGUUCUUGUUUAUUUGGGAACGACCUGUAUCGCAUCCAUAAAACCAUUAAUGUUUAACACUAAAAUAUCUUGAGAAGAUUUUAUUAAGGAUUUGUUUUUUCUGUUGAUCUUUCUGAAAAUAGCUUUUGAGCCCCUUUUGGCUCUGACUUUCCUGGCCCGCAGCUGUUGUCUUCCAACUAUAACAAAUGCACACUGCACCUCCUGAGGUCUUACUUGGAGCCUAAGUGGAAAAAUAACCCUUAGUGAAAUCCCGUUAGAGAUGUGUUGUGCUCCAUCUGUGGAGCUGGGGUAUCAGAAGUGUGAAAGAAGGUUAUUCUUUGGUUCCUGCGGGGGAGCAAGACUUGUCUUGUCUAGAGUUGCCUUCUAGGAACCAUGUCAGUAAAGAAGAAUGCUGGCUCUUCCCACUUUCUCAAUUUUCAGAUCACGUUUGUCAGCCUUAUAGUGAAAGGAUACUAAACUGAGUAUACAAAACUUGCAAGAUGGGAGUGAUCAGCUGGCCAGCGUCGAAGGGAUGGAUUUGUAUUCGUGUCUCAGCAGUGCAAGCAUAAUGGUAAUGUUCAGGUACUUGGGCAAAGCAAUGACAUGGGCAGUGCCAGGGCUCUGACUGUGGAUCAGUGACAAUUCGCUCUCCCUCCUCCCCUCCACUUUUUCCUUCAUUCAACCAAGCAGCAUAAGUGCUUAUUGCUGCAGAAUGUAAGUGCUGCCUUGCAACAACCACAUGCAACCUAGGGUACAGGCUUUUUUGGUAUAUACAAAAACCAUCUUGUUAUUAUGACUGUCUUCGUCUAAGUAUGCUACUCCCAGAGAAGAGUUACCAUGUUCUUAGGGCUCAACGCACACUGCCAUCAGACACUGCACAGCAGAAUUGUCCUUUUGCUGGCACAGCCUUCAGUUUCAGCCUGAGUAGCAGCUCAUCUGGCGUUUGUCUUCACAUGUGAGAGAAAAACACCAAGACAAUUGCUCUCUGCAAGUCAGAGAGCUGUUCAGAUGAGCUGGGGUAUCUGGAUGUCUAAGCAAACCUGCAUCAAAGUACAGAAUGCCUUAGUGCCGUGUUAUUUGUGUUUUUGCUUUUCACGUGUUGUCUUGCAACAGCAGGGGGUGUUUGCUCCAGGGCUGUGGUUUCCUGGUGCAUGUUGUACCUUACCGUGGUUCGUGGUCACUCUGGUGGGUAGGAGCAGAGGAGCCCAGCUGGGAUUGCCAGCUCUGAAGUGUUUGAGCUUCCUCAGCAAAGCCUGCAUCAGCCUGAAGCGCACAUAGCUUCUCUCCUGGAGGAGACUAUGUGAAGAGGUGGGAGAAGGGGAAGAUAUAUCCCUACCUGGAGUAUAGGAAAGGGCACUGAGAAAACACCUGUAAAGGAAGGAAUCUAAGCAGGGCCAGCAUUCACGGUGCCAGGCUUCAGACACUUGGAACACAGGGUGUUUGGGCUGUGUAAUAGAUCUUCUGUUGGAGCAAAAGCAAGUAAAUGUGUUCUAAGGGCAUGGGUGAGGGGUGGAGAUAGUAACUCAAAACAUGUGCAAGGAAAACACAAAGAUGAGAUCAGCUGUGAGGGAAGGAGGCCAAAGUCUGGGUAAAAGUGGAAAAGAAAUGAGGGAGGCAGAAUAGGGAAAGUUAUCCCGCCUGCUUUGACAGUUCAGGGACUAAAGCCACUGUACAUGUCAACGGUUUAAUGCAAGCAAUGGAUCAGAAACUAUGUUUGUGUGAAGUAAACUGAAGUGACUCUGACAUCCACACCUGUUACAAAAUGAUGGCGCUCUUCCUGGAAUGGAAAGGGAAGUUCACACACUGGAGAGUGGUAGUGGUAUAAAAAGUAGUAGAAGGGAGGGCUUUAUUACUCUCCUAGUCAUCCUUAACCCUUUUCUGAUGGAAAAUGUUGCAUCAACUUAACAACUGUUCUCCUGCUGUGCAUCCUGGGUGAGGGAGAGUGCGUGACGCCUGCGGCACAGCCUUGCCGUGGGUCCUGCAGGGAGCCAGCAUGGGACAAAGCAGAAUGGUGAGGGGCCUGGAGACCUUUCACGGCUGUGCCUGAAGCCCUGGUGGAAAGAUAGACAGGAGAAGAGCUGGUAAUGCUAUUUUCUACACCAGAGUGCCAAGAUAGUGUAACAAGUAAUUUCUGUAACAGCCAGAUGUGACAACAGCAGGAGCAGCAACUGGAAGACGCACAGUGCAUCUGGAUAAGGGAAUUUUACAUCUUUGUUUUGGUCACUGUUAAUUUCUUCCUGUUCUUAAUAAUCAUGCUGUCAAAUGCCCCUUCCUUUCAGCAAGUGGGUGUGCAAGGAGCCACGUCGGCAGCCACGUGCGUGUGUGAGGAGCUGGUUGUAUCUCACAAACCAAUCUGGAGGAGUAAAGUGAAGAUUUGCAUGGCCACCAAGUCAGGCUGUGGGGCAAUUUUGAUUUAAUUGUGUGCCAUAUAUGGCAACGGGUAUCAUUGUAUUUUUCAGCUUAGCUUUUUCUAACAGUUUUAGGUACCUCAUGUGGGGAAAGCAGUAUCUUUUAAAGAAUGCAUUCUAUAUUUGGUAAUGAUUCAAGGCACGAAUGUGUCUGAAGGAAAAAGGCUUUUCAAGUGGAGUGCUGCUGGCUCAAAGGUUCCCCAGCAAACUCUGCCGGGCUCUGCCUCUGAGCCGGGCUGCCCUCUCCCUGGCCCGAGCCUUGAGGGAUCAAUUCGGAAACUGUUUGACACUCUGCACGAUAUUCUUCAAUGGCCUCUUUCUUCUCUGGAAGAAAGAUGCAUGGAAAUGUCAGAGAGAAUUAACAGCUGGGAUGAGUGGGUGGCAAGGACUGAAAACUGUACGGAGACGAUUGAGAGGGGCACUGUCCCACAAGGAAGCAGCUACUAAUACUGCACAGGUGGGUUUGAAAAUAUUGGUUUGGUUUUGUUUUGAAGCAUAAUACAGCCUUAAAUUAAAAUUAAAAAAAAAAAAAAAGUGGAAAUGAAAAGUGGAAAAACGAGUUCUGAACAGGCUCUAAUCUCCAGCCAGUAUCUUGGCAAUAGCACUGAUUGACAAAAUGUUGAGAGUGGCUUCUGUUAACAUUCAGACUGAAAAGCACCUGGUUGGAUGUAAUGUCCAGGACUGUUAUGAUACACUUCCUAUGCACGAAUGUGUGGAAUGGCCCAAUGUGGGGUGCCUGGGCCCGGCGGUGGCUCUGCGGUGGGCUUUGCAGCUCCCCUUCAGAUGCUGAAGCACCCAAGGGCACGCUGAGCUGCUGUGGGAUUUGGAGCCGCUGGAGGACCCACAGCGAUGCCUUCCAUUGUUUGGCUUCUGCAGAGCUACAGUUUUCCUUUGGCAUCCAAGAGAGAAGAGAUGUCAGACAGUUGAUACCAGAGCUGCCACCUGACUCGUCGCUGAAUGCCAAAGCACGCCUCUGUGUUCUACUUAACACUGUGAGAUCCUGUCUCCAUUAAAUCUUCUGGAGUUCUGCCACGGAUUAGAAGACGAUUUACCCUUCAUUUGUAAGUAAUUAAGAUGAUAGUGGAGUUUCUGAAUUUUCCAACUUUCUGAGAACAAACUAAUAGCAGUGAUCCACUUCAAUAAUUCAAAUAUUAAUCGAGGCGUGAGAAACAAUACAUCAAAAAAUAAUUAAGCUUAUGUUAAUUAAUUUUUAGAAAUAGGAAGGACACCUGAGGCAAAGUGCAGACAUUGGCAAGUGUCUUUAGAUUGGGAAGGCUGUCUAGAGCAGUCCUGAAACGAAAACGGGUCAGAAGGACCACGAAUGAUGUGCAGCAGGGUCUGAGAAGUAACGUAAUUAUGGGAUUGUCAGUGAGAUGCAAAAAAGGCAACAAAGAUGUAUGGGCUUUUCCAUAGCAGCCAGAGGUGAAUCAGCAGUUAAAGGUAUCUACUGUUAUUUUAUGUCAGCACCAUCAGUGCGUUAAUUGUUGUCAUUAUCAAGGCUCAAACGUGUAUCUUCCAGUCUUAAGCUGAACUACUGACAGUGCUUUUACUGAGGUGUUUCUUAGAUAAAAUUUAGUAAAGUAUCAGCUUUUUUCCUUACAGGUUUCUACAGCUGUAACUGGAAUUUCACAUCUCACCCAGGCUUCUCUUCCUUGGUAUUUCUGAUAUAAUUCUCCUCCUCUGUGGUAUUUACUGCAGGAAAAGAAAGCUGAACCUACGUGUUACCAUGGUCCAAAUUUUAAAAUUUUACUUCUCUGCACUGUGAAGACAGAAAAAUCCGCAAUGAACCAUGAAACUUUCCACUUCCUCUUUAAAAGUUAAUAAGUUAAAGGCACAAACCUCAUUUGUUCUGCUGCUCUUCAUGCUCAUGCCUACUUUUAAUGGCAUUAUGCUUGCAGCAAAAGCCACAAAGGUUUUAUGUGCCACCAUGGGCAUGCCAGAAAGUAUGCUGAGCAACACGGGCUCCUCGCAGGAGGAGAGCAGAUGGGGGUCUGCCACCAGUGGCCCUGAGAGCUGCCAGAGCGAGCAGGGAAUGCAGCUGGAUUGUAACCCCAAGCCUCUUUCUCCUAGAGGGAGCCACAGAGUCCUGUUUGAUCUCGCUUGGGCAACUUGAAUUCAGAUUGAAGUGACGUUAUUUUUAGGAAUCUCUCAUCCCUCUAAAAAUAUUUCCUUUCAGAGUAUAUAAUUCCUGCUAUUAAGUUUUCAAAUUUUCAGUAAACAUAUGUGCGUAUAUAUAUAAUUUGCCACUCUCUUUCAUUUCCACAACAGCCUAAUUUCCUGCUAUUGGUAUUAUUAAAAGUAAAAUGCCAAAUUGGAAGUGAGACAGAAUUAUGCCAGACAAGAAGUACAUAACAACCCCCUUUUUUUUCUUAAUCUUUUUCAGGUGAAUCUAUAUUUAUUUCCAAUCCAACCUUGUGACAGGCUACGGAGAAGGAUCCUUAGAGACCGUAUUACUGAUUCUGCAAGUCAUGGUUAUAGGUUUUUUUUCCCCUGAACAGUUAUCUGAAGGAUCCUAUGUUUUGCUUUUUCCCAAUUAUUUCUGUAAUUUAACUAUAUCUGCUUCAGUGAUCCUGAAGGAUAGGACUUACGCUUAAAGAGGAUACUGAUGGGGUCCAACUGUGUUAUGUUUUAGGAAGCUUUAAAAAUAGGUGUUUCUGAUUUAAGUGAGGUGAAAUGAAAGAGUUAUCUCUCUACAGUGACAUUACCUGCUAAGUGACAACUUAUCAGCUUUGUGUGCCUAUCUGAUUUUUCUCAUUGUCUUUCUUCAAGUAGGGAAGAGAUCAGAUGAAUGUUUCCUCUUUGAAAGUAACAGAUUUUGUUAAUUAAAAAUGUUCUUAGGUGAAAUAAGUUGCCAACGGAAUAAAAAACACACACAUUUUACAGAGUAGAUGUUACUACCAUACUCUUUAUUUAAAAGUACACACAAAUAAAAACAAGACAAUACAAUUAAUGGGGGAAAAAACAUACGUAGCACACUGAAGUUCUUUAGUUGCACAGUUUAACGCUAUAGAAAUUACAACCAGCAGAAUUAGUUUUCACUAACGUUACAGAUAGUUCCUGUUUACUGGGUCAAAUACUAAAAGAUCCUCAUGGACUUUGGCAAUUGGCACAAAGUACAAAAAUAAUGUCACUUAGGAAGCUACAGCUGUAAUGAAUGAGGAAUAAUUUCUGACUAAAAUGCAACAUGACUCUUUUCAUCCUAAUUGCUUAAAAAAAUUGUAAAUAAAAUGACUAGGCAAUAAAAAAUGUUUAUGAUGACUGUUCUCACACACAGGCAUGUGCAGAGCUUGGACAGAUCUCCUGUUGGCCUCAUUCUUUGAAGAUCUGUCACCAGUGUUUGAGAAGAGUCAUGGCCUUUAGAUGUGUGCAUGGACUGGGUGAUUAGACUACUUAUUCAUAGGUUCUUCCCCUUCUGCGGCUAGGCUGCAUGCCUCACAUCUUUGGUCAACUGCAGAAAGAAGCUGGAGCUGGUGUGUUACUGCUGUCAGCUGUACCGUCCACUAGUUUGAGAGGCCUUUCCUUAUCCUAUGAACAACUUCCACUGGAUGCAAGUGCUUCAAUGGAAUCAAAUGUCUCCCCUGUGAACAGCUGGAUCCAGGUACUGGAGAUUUCUCUUUGACCUUUCUUAAAUGGAGUUGCUUAAUUGAGACAUCCAGGCAGAAACCAAUACUUUUAGAAUUGCCUUCACCAUUUAAAAUAGGAAAACUGCUAAAAUCCAAUUUUACCCUUAAUAAAUAUUAUUUGCCCUUUA